AGCUGAUCAGCAGGAGGAGAAGAGUCUGACGGAGCACCAGACGAACAUUUUCAACCAUUUGGACUCAGCUCAGCUGCUACAGUGGACAAAAAUGUCAUCAACACAAAAGGACCAACAUGAAGCGAGAAGUCAGCGCUCUCAGGAGGCCGACAAACCUCACAGAAGACAGAGAGAGAAAACAUACAGCUGUGAUGAGUGUGGAAAGGAUUUCACUCAUGCUGGAAGCUUAAAAAGACACCAACUAUUCCACAGUGGAGUUAAAGCAUACAGCUGUGAUAAGUGUGGAAAGGAUUUUACUUAUGCUGGAAGCUUAAAACUACACCAACUCAUCCACAGUGGAGUUAAAGCAUACAGCUGUGAUGAGUGUGGAAAGGAUUUUACUCAUGCUGGAAGCUUAAAAGUACACCAACUCAUCCACAGUGGAGUUAAAGCAUACAGCUGUGAGUUGUGUGGAAAGUCAUUUACCCUGGCUGAACACCUAAAAGCACACAAACCUGUUCACAGUGGAGUUAAAGCGUACAGCUGUGACUUGUGUGGAAGGUCUUUUACCCAUGCUGGAAGCUUAAAAAGACACCAACUUAUCCACAAUGGAGUUAAAGCAUACAGCUGUGAGUUGUGUGGACAGUCUUUUACCCUGGCUGGAAGCUUAAAAACACACAAACUCAUACACAGUGGAAUUAAACCGUACAGUUGUGGUUUGUGUGGACAGUCUUUUACCCUGGCUGGAAGCUUAAACGCACACCAACUCAUACACAGUGGAGAUAAACCGCACAGCUGUGGUUUGUGUGGACAGUCUUUUACCCGGGCUGGACACUUAAAAAGACACCAACUCAUACACAGUGGAGUUAAACCAUACAUCUGUGACUUGUGUGGACAGUCUUUUUCCCGGGCUGGAAACUUAAAAAGACACCAACUCAUACACAGUGGAGUUAAACCAUACAUCUGUGGCUUGUGUGGACAGUGUUUUACCCAUGCUGGAAACUUAAAAGCACACCAACUCGUCCACAGUGGAGUUCAAGCGUACAGCUGUGACUUGUGUGGACAGUCUUUUACCCGGGCUGGAAACUUAAAAAGACACCAACUCGUCCACAGUGGAGUUAAAGCGUACAGCUGUGACUUGUGUGGACAGUCUUUUACCCAGGCUGGAAACUUAAAAGCACACCAACUCGUCCACAGUGGAGUUAAAGCAUACAGCUCUGAUCAGUUUGAUAAAGCUUUUACUCACAAUAGCAGCCUACAGAAUCAAGUUACCCACUCUGGAUUCAAGGCGUACAGCUGUCACAUUUGUGGAAAAACCUUCCGCUGGCCAGGCAACCGAAAUAUUCACCUACGCAUUCACACCAAAAAUGAUGUUUGCUGUUGUGAUCAGUGUGGCAAAGUUUGUGUGACAUACAAAAACUUAGAGCAGCACAUGUUUACCCACACUGAGGAGAGACCUUAUAAAUGUGAACUGUGUGAGAAGACUUUUAAAUCUCCACAUUACCUCAAAUCACAUCAAAAGAUUCACGCCAGAGAGAAACUCUACAAGUGCAGUUACUGUGAGAGCGACACAGAUGGAUCCAGUUCUCAACCCUGUCGUCACUGUGUCGGCGGGAAAGUGUUUCGCUGUGACCUUUGUGGAAAAACUUUCAGUCAUCUAAAGGGCCUAAAAAUACAUCAACACAGACACACUGGAGACAAAAUGAACUACUGCAAAGAAUGUGGGAGCUGCUUCCCCACAUCAAGUGCAUUAAAACAACAUGAACUCUGUCACAGUGGGGUAAAAAAGCACGUCUGUGACCAGUGUGGGUCAUCCUUCAUCACUGCAGGUAAUCUUAAAGAGCAUAAGAGUGCACACAGGAGAGAAACCAUACAAGUGCAGACACUGUGACAAAAGCUUCUCACAGACAAAUAUUCAUAACCUUUAUGAAGAUACAAACAUUGAAGAGAACUUCAGCUGUGACCAGUGUGACAAGAGCUUCAAGAAUCUCAGUUCAUACUCUGCACACAAACGAUCCCACUCUGUAAAUAAACUGUUUCACUGUUACCAAUGUGCAAAAACAUUCACUUCAUUAUCUGCUCUAUGAAACCAUCAGCGUGAUCAUGCAGGACUGAAAUCACUGGAUCACAAUGAAUCUGAAGAGGAAGAAAGAUCCUCUUCUGGUUUCAGGGUCAGACUUAAAAACCUUGAGAUCAGGCUCCACAGAGUUCAGAUGGAAUCUCCUGUGAAGAGUGUCAGCUGAUGUCACACUUGAACCUGAUGAGCUAGCUCUGCUUUCUGGAGCUGCAGUGAAUAAUCCUAAAUGUUACAAUUAGGAAACUACAACUAUAGAUAUGUACAUCAAGUUUAUCUUUUAGUUUUUUUCCUUUGGAUAAUUUUACAAUGGUAAACAGUAGUGGUAGGGCUGUGCAAUAUUACCAAAAUCUCAUAUCCCGACAACGAUAUAAAUCACAAAAAUGUAACAUUUUCUGUAAAUUCUGUGAAUCUCGGGCAGCUCGACUUGCGUGACGUGUUUCCAGCUGGGUGUCGUGUACCUGGAGUCGAGUGUUUUAACAGAUGCAUGAAAUUAUACAUUUUUAGACAGAAGUUGUAAUGGCUGCCAUUUUCUUUGUAUUUAUUACACUGCGUGCUGCGGGGAAAAGCCUGUUCUAACGUUUCAGUGUAAGGUUUAUUUUUUUAGCACCUGAUGGCUCCUUUCUGCUUCUCAUCUGUAAACACUCUUCAUACUCUUUCACAGGAUUCAGUUUAUUUUGAAAAGUCUCAACAGGAUCUUGAGCUUUAUUGUGAAAGGUUUUUGUGCAAAACAAACAAGCGGACUAAGGAAAGCGCUAGUAAGCACUCUCUGCUUAUGACCCAAAAAACAAAAAAACAAAAAACAGAGGAAGUUUUAGGAGUGACGGCGAGAGAGACAGCAGAAAAAGAGAGAGAGCGAGUUCUGAGAUGUGAGAGAUUUUUGACGUUUAGCGUGUUUGGAGUGCGUCGUUAAUGUGUUCUCUUGUGUACUUAGUGUGUAGUGUUGUGGAUAGUUUUGUGUUGUGUGUCAGAACAAUGAGGCGACUGCUGUCUCCAGGUAGAAACACAAGUGAUACACCUGCUGCUGUCAGACCUGCAGGUAUCAGGCUGUGAUGUUCUCCUUUAUAGUGGAGAGAGUGGAGUGGACAUUCCGUAUAUGUCUGUAUAUAUGUCUGCUGUGACAAAACAAAUUUCCCACGUGUGGGACUAAUAAAGGUCAUCUUAUCUUAUCUUAUAUAUAUUUUAUUUAUCUGUCUCGCUCAUAUCUGCGGUAGGCUCGCUUAGCAUAGGAUACAGACGCCCCAGGCGGGAAUCGGACUUGUGAUCCUCUGCUCCAAAGGCGUGUAGUCUAACCACUACGCUAUCCAGCUGCUUCCCUGGAUCAGGACCGUCCAACCUUCGGUUAGCCAGGUAGAAGCCCCCAUU